rnacentral:lncRNA from 1 species
GCCAGAACCAAGCGCCAGAUGCCCCGCGCCGCACCCCGCAGCCGCCAUUUUGCGCGGGGAUCCCCGCGCCCCUCAGCCGCCCCCCGGACGCGGGUCGGGGGGAAGAGGACCGCCAUUUCGCGUGCGGACCCCCGCGCCGCCGCCGCUUACCCCAGCGCCCGCAGCUCCUCGUCCAGAUGGGCGCUCGGCUCCCGGCGCUGGGUCAUCGUCCCGCCGGGUGACGCCGGCUGCCCGCGGCCGCCUCCGCGGGGCGCUGGGAAGAAAAAUCUCUUUGAACAAUCACAAGCUGUGUCUGAUGCCCAGAAGCAGGACGAGGAGGAGAAAUGUGGGGCUAAGAAAGAAGGAUCACUCUGCUUUAAUUGAAAUACGCCUGGUAACCCCAAACACUCAUCCUAAAAACUGCUUCUACCGUUUUCUAAUAUUUUUGCUUCAUACAAAACAAUUGUGUAAGUUUGUUUCCUCAACGACAGUAAAUCACUGCUUUAUUUUCCGCGCCAUUGUUUUUGUAUGGAAGCUGAUCUGCAGCCUUCGUAUGUGGCUGAAAGUGGUGGUGCUGCUGCAGCUGUUUGUGAAGCGGAGUGUGCAAAUGGAGCUGUGUUUGGGUUUGGAUCAAAGCACAGUUUUCUCCUGGUGCCUGCGGUGGCUUGGGAUUAACCAAUGUAGCCACAUGGCUCUUGAAAAAGAAACGAGACCCUCAGCUCUCUGCCACUGCUGUACGUUACAAUCAUCCCUAUAGGUUUUGGUGCCAAUAUAAGAUCGGAUCUCUAUUUUGUACUCUAUAGUUAUGCACUUUGAAUUGCAAACGGAGAGAACGGUAGUGUUCGGGUCAUUUGUAGUGUUUAUUUUUUGGCAUGGUUCAAAAGAGAUUGUGUAAAUAUCAGAAGAUACGUUUGAUUGCUUUCACUGUUUAUUUGCUUCUUUGUACUGUACUGAACAUCACAAGGUGCCUUAAUUAUCACAGUGUUGAAAUACUGGAAAGAAGAUGGAUGUAAUAUUUGUAGAUCUCAGUUCUAAAGGAGAAGACAGCAUUUAUUUUGCUUUGAGGCUGCAGUCUCUUCUGUUUCAAGCUGCCACAUUGCUGAUACCCCCAGUGGUUCCCCUGAGAGAAACUUCUUUGUUCCAGUUCCAUUCACACACAGUCAUUUAACGGUGUCUGACAGGUUCACCUGAGGGCCACAUCCAUGCUAUCUUUAUUUGCUAAGAAAACACUUCUCUUUUAAAGAGGAGAGGCCCUGGUCACUCACAGCACAGUGACUGUGAGAGUGUGUCCAGUGUUGCUCAGACUGAUGAUUUUCCAACCUCUUUUUCUUGGUAAAAAAGAAUUAUGAACACACAGAUGAAACUAAACUACUGUGUUCCUUCAGUGAGGCACUUUGAGAAGCCUGUAAGCAUAGGAUCAAACUUAAGUUAUUUAAUGUAAAACUUUCUCGAGGUGAAAUGUUGAAAAUUGAAACUCUAAAUGCAAACCCCCAAAGCCUGUACUGAAUGGUUUGCCACGUGCAGGGCUUUCCUGUGCCUGCUUCUGAAUGAUUGCCACACUAACAGGAGGAAGAGAACUAUUCCACCAGUUUCCAAACUGGCGAUGGAGAAGCAUUCAAGCUACUCGUAAAGCUCUCUAUUUAUUUAGAAUAUAAAUAUAUUUGUAUAUGCAUUAUUCAUUAGCAUUUUUUUUUUGCUCUUUUAAACUGAGUAAAUCCCGAAAAGUGAAUUUCUUCCAUUCACUGUUAGAACAGAACAGCCGUGGUGGGCAGGCAGCCGGGUGUCGGCACUGUGUGAAGCAUGGUGCAAAUUGGAUAGCACAGCUGCUGCGUUCUUAUGUGAAGGAGAUAGGAGCUGCCAGCUUUAAUGCUCGUUGUGUUGUUAUAAAGCGAACGUUCAGACGAGCAGUCUGUAAUUUUAAGCAUUUACUGGCCUUUCUAUUCAUCAUACUCUAUCACUAUCUUCUUAAGCAGAAUGUAGCUAUUUUCACGAUCUUUCUACAUGCAAACCAAGUCUUUAGCUGUGCUGAUUUAUUUUACCUGGCAAAGUGUUUUUUUACAUUCAUUUUUUCCCCCCAAAUUGUCAUUUCCACAAGUAGCUUGCAAAACACAGAAAAAUCAGCUACAGCUGUCCUUAUAGGUGUGAGAUUUUGUUUGACGUUGCCCUCAGGAUGAGCUGCACUGCACAUACGCAGAUAGCAACUGAUGUAACACGGAUCUUCUCGUUUAUCUCACUGUUAUGGAAAUCUAAUUAAAAAUAACAUUCUGACCCUUUUUAAGAGCUUGAAGUGCCCGACUAGAACUCGUAGCAUGUAAUCUUAAGUUCCUGCAUUUUCUGCCGUUUGAUCUGCAGUUACAAGCCUUAACUUUUCGCUGGGAUGCUGGCUAAGUGCAUCUUGAGGAAAAUGAAUGCUUCUUCCCUGUUCCCUUCACUCAGUAAUUUUGUGCAUGUUACCAAUAGACCAUCAGUGUUAAAACAGUGCUUUGGACUGCAGGACAGCGCAGGUACCAGAGUAAGUUGUCCACUGGGACAAGGACGUGUAUGGUAUGUGCAUUACAAUAUUAGCAUUCAUGUUUAAACAUAUUUGCGUGCUACCUUUUCUUAUAUCGGUGCUCAGAGCGAAGUUUCACGUUGCAGUUUACAAGACAGAGGUUUGCACACACAAACUCAGGGUUUACAGUUUUACCCGGUGCACUUGAAGGGAAGAAAUGCCUCGGAAACAAGUGCCCAGGAUUUCAAAGUGUAGUUGUUGGAGGAAAAUUUUGUAUGUUUUGUUUUUUUCUUCUUAAUUAUUUUAACUGCCUGUAGAGACGAAAGUGAUGACGUGAGGUGAUACCAACAGCUACUUUAUUUUCUCAGGGGAGAUUUCUUCAGUAGAAUGUAUCACUUCUAACAUCAUACAAUGUUUGCUAGACUUUGUCUGUUACCAAAGGGUGCCCAUGCUUGCAUGAGGGGUGGGUUUUGCAGGGAGCUGAGCUGCCCAACCCAGCCCAGCAAAGCCCUCCCACACCCUGGCUCUGGAUCCCCAAGGAGAUUCCUGAGGUCUUCCUGGGCCAUGGUGGUUUUUGGCCUGACAGCACGAUGCUUUGCUGAGCUGGGCUGGGAGCAGCCAGUAACCUGCAGGGCCAAACCCCUGGUUCUCCACACAGUGUGCAUCCAGCCUGGGCUUAAGCCUGGCACACGGCAGAUAUUGCCAGAAAAGACUGUUGGAAAAAAAAAAUCUGGGGAUGUGGUGCUCCUCCAGGAUUGCCAGGGGUGUUUCUCCUGCUGAUGGAGUGAUGCAUAACGAUGUACCUUGGGUGAGAGACAAGCCAUAGGUGUCGGGGCCUAUGAGCUGCUUGUAUUAAAUAUUUCAUGGUGCAGUCACAGCACAUUGCAGCUGAAAUUCAACAGGGGAAGGCCUGCCCACCACUUGGGUUCCCUCUCAGCCCUGUGGUGAUGUUCAAGGCCUGUUGCAGCCAUGAGGUUUAGGUUCAGUGGGACUGGAGUGAUGUGUGAAUGUGGCUCUGGUCCUUCGCAGCAGGGUUGGUUUCGCUCGAGUAAAGUGAAAUCCCUGGUGAAUGAUUUAAAAUGUAUUUAUGGGUUGUGUGUGUGAUUUGUUUUUUUUUGUUUUGUUUUUUUUUUGCUCCUGUCUGCAUUCAAAGAUGCCUCUACUAUUUAGUGUUGAUGGCCGAAGUGUCAUUCCUAAUUCUCAUAAAUUACCAUUGACUUGUAGCUACCCAAGAACGCAUACAGUACUUUAAAAUACUUCUGUUUUUUCCACCUUUCUCUGUGUUUUUUUUUUUCUUCCCUGUCCCUCUUUUUUCCCCCAUUUUUUUCUUACUUGUUCCUCUUCUUUUUAAGGGGAUGGAUUAUCAAUGUAAAGGUAUUUAAAAGUGCACGUGUGAAGUAAGGGCAGUGAUUGCUAAUAGAAUGUGGGUGGUAUGUCUGAUGGAAGAGCAGUGGGUUAUGAGGCAAACAGGUACAUGCCGUGAAAGCUUUGUGUGGAUAAUGUGGAAAAAUAAAGCUGUAACUAGAGAAAAAUGGACUCUGAGCUGCUUCCAACGUAGACAACACUGUGGGAGCGUGCAGCUGAAGCCUGGAGCAAUCCUGCUGCUGAGUGCUGUGAGCCUGGGAUGUUAGGGCAGCCGAGGGGCUCUGGGAAUUGCACUACACGUCAGGGACACCUCGAGACGUCGGUAUCGCUUGAGAACAGACUGGUUGGAACUGCUGGAUACCGAAGGUUGUAGUUGAAUGAGUAAGCAUUUGUAUUAUGGGUGGGGUUUUUUUUUGUUUUGUUUUGUUUGAAUGUUAUGACAAAUAAAAUGUAUUUUUCAGUAAAAGAUACACUUCAAAUGAGCCUACUUGGUCAUAUUUUUGCAGAGUUCCUUUUGCUGUCAUGCAGGACAACUAACAGUGGCACUGUUUGGCAGAACGUGUGAACAGUAAAGAAGAAAAGAUUUCAGUGCAGAGCAAAUUAAAAGCCCCACGCUCAGUGUCAAAGCCCUGAGCUGUCACAGUGUCUUUAAGUCUUCAGUAUGUAAGAGGCAAAUAUAUCAUCCUUUAUACUACGUUUAAAUAUAUCCAUUUUGUUGUGUAUUUAUAGUCUUUUUAACCACAUGCCUGAGAUAGUUAAAAGAAAGCAGAUUGUCACCUCAUCAUUUACAAGUAAUGCAGUCAGGUAUCUGUUAUGAAUCUGCCAUAUCAUUUCAAGACAGUAAUCUGAAAGCACAGAUUGGAUGGUAAAAGUGUGUUUUGGUGUUUCUAAUAGUCCUUUCUCCCUCUUUCUGGGUUCUUUGAAAUUUGCACCAGAGCCUUGUAUUUAAGAUAGAUACCGUCAGUGAUGUAACUACUAAUAUAUAGCUAAGGAUUCUUAUAUGGACAUAUAAAUCAACCGAGUGAAAACAGAUGUAGACGGGAAGAACUGGGACAAGGGGGAAAUGGAUUAGGGAAAGCAGAGCCAUGCAGCCUUGUCUCAGCAGGAGCAGUCUGGACGAUCUUGGGCUGCCAAAGCGUGACCAGAAGAAAAUCAAAUGGAGUGUGGGAGCAGAACAGAGAGGAGAGAUGUUAAUCACCUUCAAAUGAGGAGAAUUUGAAACUGCAAAGGGAACUGGGAUUGUCAACAGGAAAAUUUGGGACCUGCUCGUUUACUUUUCUCUAAGAAGAGUCCCUGGAGCCUGAUUGCUAUGCACCUUUGAGAGGUGCUCUUCCCAUCACUGCUUGUUUUGGAUAAUAGGUGAAUCUUUUAAGCUAAAACCUCUACUAAACAGGUCAGAAAUAGGUAUGUAUGGGGAAAUGAACUCUCACUUGUCUCCAAGGAGCCCAGUCUUGUGGCCAGUCUUCAUCAACCAGCAGUGCAUCUUAUAGUACAAGAAUCCAAAAGCUUCCAAUUAAUCUGACAAGUCAGGUGAAAUAUUUCUAGUGUUUACAAGGGUUGGUGCGGAAUAUCUUUGAGUUUCCAAAUUGUCUUCAUAACAUCACUGGUAGGAGUGACGAGACCAGAAGGUAGAAAUGUAGUAUUUGUUGUCAGAAGGAAUGGGAAUCACGUAGGAGGAGAAGCAGUUCCCUGAUGUUAAGUUUAAACAAGCAAUCCAGGAUAAAACAAGUGGUGUGUUUUGGGGGGAGGGAGAAGCCUAUUUCAUAAUUGCUCUCAUCUUGCAUUGUCACGAUAGCAAACAAGCAAUUGGCUUGGCAAACCCAAGCUGUAUCCACCUGUUUUGUUUUAGAAGCACCUAUCAUCUAGUUACCAAAUUAGAACCUGGCAGUGGAAAGCCCAAUGCUGCAACUGCCCUGCUUUGCCUUGACCUUACUCAGACCAGGUACACAUUUCAAGUUGAAAAUGCAACCUUGCCUAAUCAGAAUUUCUGUUUAUUUUGCUAUUAUUAACAAAUUCUUCCGUCUUCUAAAGUACAUGGACACUGUAUCAUGCAUUACAUGUGUUCUUAAACCCUAAAAAUAUCCAUAUUUGAGGGCUUUCAUUUCUUUCUGUUCCAUAAUCUCUUUGUAGCCAGACAAACUGCUCAAGAUGCCCUCAUAAAGUAGAGCUGACUUCAUCAGUAGUGUGUUCCCUGGAAAUCUGG